GCGUGUUUUGCGGCGGUUCGCUCGCGUGGCUCACAUUCGCGUCGGGCGGCGCGUCGCUCGCGCUGCAAUGGUGCAUUCCAUAUGCGCGUU
rnacentral:tRNA from 1 species